rnacentral:misc_RNA from 1 species
AAGUCGUAACAAGGUUUCCGUAGGUGAACCUGCGGAAGGAUCAUUUCCGAACAAAACAUCAUAUCAACCAACCAUGUGAAAUGUUUUGGGUGACCUUUACUGGAGGGAUAGCUGGAGUUGUUAGACAUAUAUACUACACACCUAGUCGUGUGUGUGUGUAUGGAUAGCUCAUCUCCGAUUUUUUUAUCCCUCCAGGCCUUGAUGAACUACCUUGUAACAAAGGUUGAUUUUAUAUCGUCUUUUCAACUUUAGAAAAGUAAAUGAUAUGACAACUUUCAACGGUGGAUCUCUUGGCUCGU